AGUAGGGUCCCAGGCACUGAACCCUUGUUUUGCUCCUUUCCUGAAUAAUCACUUCUGACUGCGACUGUCAAGUGUCUUCAACAAUGAAGUCAUCUUUGUGCAGCCUUAGGUAGAGCUCUGCAUAAUCAGGUUGCAUUCUUCUAGAAUGUUAAAUAAACAGUUACAGGAAGAACUGGUUGGCACUGGAGAGAUAGCCCACAGGCAAGAGUGUACUAACUAUUCUUGCAAGGACCCAGGUUCAGUUCCCAGCACCCACAGUGGUUCACUUACAAACUGCCUGCAAUUCCACCUUCACAGACUCUGAUAACUCUGAUCUCUCUCUGCAGGGACCUGAAGCCCUGUGCACACACCCACAUUCUCAGGCACACCAUACCCAUUGUUUACACGCUAGCUGGUGGUGGGACCUGGGAGAAUGGAGCUGAUAAGUGAGGCAGACUAAGGUCUUAUGCAAUAGCCAACUUUAUUCAGAGUGGCUGUCAGAUGAGAUUCUGAGGGUUAAGAGGAGUCACGUGAGUGAAGUGUCCACCAUCACGGGCAAACCACACAUGAUGGGCAAACCACAAGUGGCAGAAACAUGUAUUUCUAUAGAGGCAUGUAGACAAUCAGAGUAGCUGGUUGUAAUGAGUGACCUGAAUAAAUCCUAUACACUACACCAGGGAAGGGCAUGGAAAUGCAAUCCAAGAACAGUUCUGGGAUUUUGAAGGAACUGAGGUCAAACUCUUGCCUUCUUUUCUUGGAGUUUUCUCACUCAGAAUUCUCCUCAUACCACCCCAUUCUUAGACCGUGUUCUGAUACCUUUAACUAAGAAUAAAAAAAUAAGUCUAGUGGUGUGUCUGUCAGAACACACAAUAAACACAUCAAACCUACUUUAGUCUCCAAGUUGCUCACAUGUAAGCCGCAGUGGACUCCUGUACCUCACAGUUGAGAAGGGCUCAUGGUUCUAAAACUCUCCUUCUUAAAACGUUAAAACAAGGGUUUGACUGGUACGCUCCGGUGACUGAGAAUACAUUGUGAGGUUUUAUUUGUUUGCUUUCCGUAUUUGUCAAGGUGGGGGAUGCAUGUAAAUUAUUUUAAAAGUAGGAGGAAGGGUUUGCUUGGUUUUAUUUUGUUGUUGGUGGUGGUUUUUCCUUUGGUGUUUUGUUUUAUUUUGUUUUGGGUUUAGGCCAGAAAAUGGUUCACCGGUGAGAGUUAGGGUGACAUUUCCCUUUUCUUUCCUUUUAGGUUGACAAUUGCCUUUUUUGCACUCUCUGGGCUGGAUAUGCUGGACUCCUUGGAUGUGGUGAACAAAGACGAUAUAAUAGAGUGGAUCUACUCCCUGCAGGUUCUUCCCACAGAAGACAGUGAGUGAGUUUUUAGCAUUUUAUUUUUGGUAUGAUUAGCUGUUCUUGGCAUGACAUGCAUGGGAUUUGCAAAUCAUAAUAUUUAUUCAUACUCAUAGCUUUGCAUAUCCUUAUUUUUCUUGUAGUUCAGGAUCCCUUUCUGCCCAGAUAGAACACCUAACUAGUAUUAGCUUUAAUCUGUCUUGAGGAAACAGAGUCAGAGAAUUACAUUGAGAUUCACAAAUGUAGUCACACACUAUGUUAUAUAUGCCUAUAUUAAUGACUCAUUAUUUGUAUUUAAUGUUUAUAUAUGACCAGUCCUUUAGUAUUUGCUCUAUUUUUCAUUCCCAGCCAUUGUUUUUUUUUCUUCAGAAAAUUUCUUAGUCAUCUACUGUAUUUCUUCAAGUAUAAAGUUUUUUUUCAUUAAAUCUAUAAAAUUUAUAACUUCAUGAUUGACCUAUUUUGAGAGAAAUAAGUGCACAGUGUAUCUCUGAUUUAUACAAAAUGUAAAUGUAGUUCAAAUGACCCAAAGUCCUGCCAUGUGCUCGGAAGGAAGUGGGAGGAGGUCCUGGAGUUCUUCCCACGUGCAUUUCAGAGGCGCUCGACUUUGGUAACAACGUUAAAGCUUCUUUGGAGUUAGAAUUGGGAUUUUACCAUAUCCUUUGAGAUGUAUUGAAAGUCUGUUCUAUUAUUAGUUGCGUGCACUUGUUUUUUUUUUUUGUUUUGUUUUGUUUUGUUUUUUUUUAAAGCUAUCAGUCUUUGUAGCUUUAAAUAGCUUUACUUCUUUCUGUUGGGCUUGCCAACUUCUGGAGAGCAUUUGUCUUCCCGUCAAUAUUGUUAGGCUGGCAGUCCCUUGAGUCUCCCCUUUCCUCUUUUAUGGUUUCACAUUUAGUCAAGAACAUUUUCUGUUCCUUCACAUAUUUUCUCUUAUAACGUGUUUGCAUAUCAAGUAGACUUUGCCUCUGCAGCUCAUAGGUGCAUAUUUAUAUAAUUCUGUUAGACCCUGUAAAGUUUAAAUAUUAAAUGAACCCUGCAGAUGAUUAAGAAUUAGAAAAUGUUUAAAUUAAAAAAUGUUCUGCUUAACCCCUUUUCAAACAAUAAAGAUAAACUAUUUAAAACU
rnacentral:lncRNA from 1 species